GACGAACGCUGGCGGCGUGCUUAACACAUGCAAGUCGAACGGAAAGGCCCUGCUUUUGUGGGGUGCUCGAGUGGCGAACGGGUGAGUAACACGUGAGUAACCUGCCCUUGACUUUGGGAUAACUUCAGGAAACUGGGGCUAAUACCGGAUAGGAGCUCCUGCUGCAUGGUGGGGGUUGGAAAGUUUCGGCGGUUGGGGAUGGACUCGCGGCUUAUCAGCUUGUUGGUGGGGUAGUGGCUUACCAAGGCUUUGACGGGUAGCCGGCCUGAGAGGGUGACCGGCCACAGUGGGACUGAGAUACGGCGCAGUCGCCUACGGGAGGCAGCAGUGGGGAAUAUUGCACAAUGGGCGGAAGCCUGAGGCAGCAACGCCGCGUGCGGGAUGACGGCCUUCGGGUUGUAAGCCGCUUUCGCCUGUGACGAAGCGGGAGUGACGGUAAUGGGUAAAGAAGCACCGGCUAACUACGUG
rnacentral:rRNA from 1 species